rnacentral:rRNA from 1 species
UACGUAGGUGGCAAGCGUUGUCCGGAUUUACUGGGUGUAAAGGGCGUGCAGCCGGGAAGACAAGUCAGAUGUGAAAUCCCGCGGCUCAACCGCGGAACUGCAUUUGAAACUGUUUUUCUUGAGUACCGGAGAGGUCAUCGGAAUUCCUUGUGUAGCGGUGAAAUGCGUAGAUAUAAGGAAGAACACCAGUGGCGAAGGCGGAUGACUGGACGGCAACUGACGGUGAGGCGCGAAAGCGUAGGGAGCAAACAGG